UAUCAAUAAUUCCUAAUUUCUAUUAACUGACAGGCUCUCUGAGACAGCAUAUGAGGCUUGGUAAGUAAGUCCUAAGUCUUCCCAGUGCUUCAAUUUGUCUGUUUCUAUUUGUCUGUUACUAGCUUGCUGGCCUGCUCUAUAGUGCUGUUGCUUAAAAAGUCAUCUGUGAAGAAAACCAGAGGGAGAAAUUUCACCUGCCAAAGUGGAUAAAGAGGACUGUGCUUGCAGCAAGAAAUAUUGAGGGAUGAGGUACUACCUUCACUCAGAUAAAGAACUUGCUUGCUUCAGCUUGUUGUAAAAUGGCAAGUUCCCCAAGCUGUGGGUUCUAUAAGUGUUCCUCUGUUGUGAAGCAACCCAUGGCCUAUGCAAGUAUCCACCUGAGUCCUCUGCAUUGGACUUGGGAGGAGGCAAGGAGAACUAAUAUAAACAUGAUGCUCAUGCUACUUGCUGUGCU
rnacentral:lncRNA from 10 species